UGGUUAGUACAUUUGACACAAAAAAAAACAAAGCAAACAAAAAAGUACAGAACCCUAUCUUUUUCUUCACUUCUCCAUCAGCCUCCAAUUUUCGUCGUCGUGGAAGCCUUCUCUCUGGCGUUAAUGGUCUCUCUUUAGUCCACCAGCACCACCACAAGCUACAUCCUUCCCAAAGCCUCGUGAGAGAGAGAGAAGAGACAUGGCUGGCUGUGUGAACUAUAUUUCUCCGUGCUCUGUGCUCCCUACUUGCCUCUCUAUCUUCGCCUUCACGCUCACCAUUCUUCUCUCUUGCUUUGAGCUCUUUUUUUUUAAAUGAGAGCGGUUAAUUUUGGAUUGCAUCCGGUCCAGAACUGCCGGCAACCGGAUGAUGGGGCCCGAUGAUUAAUACAACAUCUUGUUUGCCUGCGUAUGUAGAAUGCUGUAGAUAACUGCAGAGAAAGAGUUGAGCAAAAGAUGCAGCAACAUUGUGCAAUGGAAAGAAGCAGAUGUUACUGUUAGGGUCACUGCCACGCGACUGCUUUUGUUUUUCUCUUUUUUAUGUAUACAUAUAAAUCAAUGUAGCGAAGACAAAACGUUGGAUUAUGCCCAACAGAAAUGCUGCUUUUUAAUUCUCAUCAUCAUCGUCUUCUUCCUCUCCUGUAAUCCUUUUCUUGAAUAAUUAUUAUGGAACUGGAACAAA